rnacentral:lncRNA from 1 species
UAGAUCCUACAUUACGAAGGCCUUCUCUAGAGGCCUUGAACGUAGUUUGUCUGCUUAACUGGCCAGGAGAAAUUAGGCAGUCUCAUCAGCUCAGUCUUCCGUGAAUGAGGGAAGUUUUUCCGUCUCAAACUUCGGCUCUAGCAGCUUCAGUGAAGAAAAGUGCCGAAGAAAACCAACCUCAUUAGGACUUGAUGGAGAAGACUGAGAAUAGGUGGUAAGGCCUACAGUGAAAGGGCAGGAGACCACAGAAGUUGGAGCUCUGGGCUGAUUCCUGGGCCAAGUUGGAGUGGGCCCCAGGGUCACUUGGAUAUCAGCAAUCUCAGGGCGAAGGGGCGGCACGGACAGAGUUUCAUCCUUGUUGCCCCGGCUGGAGUUCAAUGGUGCAAUCUCAGCUCACUGCAACUCCCCUGAUCUCAGGCCAUCCGCCCACCUCAGCCUCCCAAAGUGCUGGGAUUACAGGCAUGAGCCACCACGCCCGGCCUCUGCUUUCUUUCUCUGUGAUUUGACUAUUCCAGAUCCCUCAUCUGGGAGUUAAAAAAAAUUCUGCCGUAGCCUACCGCCUCAUGACUUUGAGUCUGUCUGUAUUACACCAAGACAACAUAGAAGUUAUGAGCCUUGUGAAGGAGGUGCCUGCUUCGCCUUCCUCCAUGAUUGUAAAUUUCCUGAGGCCUCAUCAGCCAUGUGGAACUACUACAGAAUCCUGGCGAGGAACCUAUUCCUAUAUUUACCUCCAUCUCUCUGGUACCUGGCCUAAGUCUACACAGUAGAUUUAUCCUGAAAUCUGCUCCAGGAGUUCUGUACAUCUCAUGUUGCAGGGCUGCGGUGCUGUGAAGAUUUCGGCAUCCUGCACUCAUGGCCAUGUUUAGUCUAUGGUCACAUUGACACUAGAGAGUUUCAGGGACCAGUGCAGUAUGCCCAGGUCUGACAUGGGCUUCCAAAAUGUAUGUGAACAGAGUAAGAAUGAUACUUUUUUGCUUUUCAAAAUAUUUCACAGCUUAGGUGGCACUUACCCUUAUCCCUUCUUUUCUGUCUUUACUGAUAAAUACUCAUCACCUUAGAUUAUUUUAACAUCUAACAACUUUCAGUUGCAAUUAGAAAAUAUCUUUAGACAUGUUAAUUAUAAAAAUAUUCUUCAUUUAUGAAAUUGAUUACGCCUAGUGACUUCAUUCACCAAUUGUCUCAAAAUCUUGCCUUUAAACUACCCUCAGGAGGAAUCUCCAUGUUCACAAAAGAAAAGAGGGCAAAGGCCAGGCACAGUGGCUCACACCUAUAAUCCCAGCACUUUGAGAGGCUGAGGUGGGAGGAUUGCUUGAACCUAGGAGUUCCAGACCAGCGUGGGCAACAUGAUGAAACCCCGUCUC